GAUUGGUGUCUGCUUGCAAAACUUAUAUACGGUGCUGCACGGCUGUCGUCAGCUCGUGUCGUGAGAUGUUGGGUUAAGUCCCGCAACGAGCGCAACCCUCGUGUUUAGUUGCUAACAGUUCGGCUGAUAACUCUAAACAGACUGCCUACGCAAGUAGGAGGAAGGUGAGGACGACGUCAAGUCAUCAUGGCCCUUACGUCCAGGGCUACACACGUGCUACAAUGGGAUAUACAAAGAGCCGCAAUACGGUGACGUGGAGCAAAUCUUAUAAAAUAUCUCCCAUUUCGGAUUGUAGUCUGCAACUCGACUACAUGAAGUUGGAAUCGCUAGUAAUCGUAAAUCAGCUAUGCUACGGUGAAUACGUUCCGGGGUCUUGA
rnacentral:rRNA from 1 species